rnacentral:lncRNA from 1 species
UACAGAUGCAGAGAGGACACACUUGCUCAAUUCUGUGACUAAUAUUUGAUCUGACCUGUUAGUUGGAAUUUAAAUUAUUAAAAGUAACAAUGGAAACAAUGUAAGCGAAGCCGUGUUAAGCACUGCCAAUCACCUCACUCCUCUGCUGUGGUUCUUGCAAGUAGUCAGUGCUGGAAUUGACCCUAUUCAUCACCCUGUUCCUCUUGUAACCCCUGAGCAAAAGGCAGGUAUCUCUAGUGCUCUGUUUGCCUGGUUGAAACUUCCAAUCCAUUUCAUUUGAUCUCAGUGCUCAUUCUGACAUGAUCAAUCACCCUCUGCUUUCUGAGUGCCUGCAGCAAGGAGCUGUGCUCGCCACUGCUGCUCUCUCCUGGUUUUACCUUCUUUCUCUCACCACUUGUUUUCCAUGAUUAAUAAAAUUAAUGCUGUUUUCUCUCUUGCUCUUUUCCAGUGGAGUGUUACAAGGCACUGGCCUUGACCUGCUUCUCCCUUUAUUUGCUGCUCCUCAUGUUGCAGACAAGCUGGAUCUGAACCUUCUGGUCUGUUACCCAGUGCCUCCAAUAUCCUUGUGCUGUGUUUCAACCCUGUAUGCUGCUGCUGGCCUAAGGUCCUUAGUAAAAAGAAACGGGUGAAUAAAGUUGUAUGCAUGCUUCAAGCUAAUGAUCUCCUUCCAAUCCAGCUCCAGGACACCAAGUCUCAUGACAGAAAUGAAGUGAGAGUAUGUUAUGUAAGUAAUUUAUUUGUGCAUCUUUGGUAUUGCAGCACUAAUAGGCUUGCUGCCAGGUAUUCCAGGCUGCAGUUUGUCAUGUCUGACUCUUUAGUCUUUUCAAGCAAUUGAAGAAAUGGCCUUCUGUGGGCUGUCAGUGACAGAUACCAGCUCACUCACAUAGAUAAAGCUCAAUUAGCUCCUGGAGAAAGCAUCUUUUAAAAAUGUAAUGAGCUGCACCAGGGAAGAUAGGUAGACAAGUGUUAUACAAAAACUAAAUAAAAUGUUAACACGGACAAACA